GAUACGACUCUCGGCAACGGAUAUCUCGGCUCUCGCAUCGAUGAAGAACGUAGCGAAAUGCGAUACCUGGUGUGAAUUGCAGAAUCCCGCGAACCAUCGAGUCUUUGAACGCAAGUUGCGCCCGAGGCCACCCGGUCGAGGGCACGCCUGCCUGGGCGUCACGC
rnacentral:rRNA from 1 species